CAUUCCCUUCGCCCCGCCCCUUCGUCAGGCGAUUGCUAUUUGGCGGGAAGGACAGACGUCCCUGAGCUAAAGACACAGCCGUGAGGCCAUGGCGGGACGGCGUGGUGCCCUCAUCGUGUUGGAAGGCAUGGAUCGCGCUGGGAAGACUACCCAGUGCCGGAAGCUCGUGACGACGCUGCUGGAGUCGGGACACCGUGCAGAACUUCUCCGAUUCCCGGACAGAUCCACAGAAAUCGGCAAGCUGCUGAGUGCCUACCUGGAGAAGAAGAGCAACAUGGAGGACCACACGGUGCAUCUCCUCUUCUCCGCAAACCGCUGGGAGCAGGUACCGCUGAUCAAGGAGAAGCUAAGCCAAGGAAUCACCCUCGUGGUAGACAGGUACGCCUUCUCCGGCGUGGCCUUCACCAGCGCCAAGGAGAAUUUUUCACUCAACUGGUGCAAGCAGCCCGAUGUGGGGCUCCCGAAGCCGGACCUGAUCCUCUUCCUCCAGCUGAGCUCCCUGGAAGCCGCCAAACGGGGCAACUUCGGCACCGAGCGCUACGAGAACAACGCCUUCCAGGAGAAAGCCUUGCAGCGCUUCUACCAGCUAAUGAAAGACGACUCCUUGAACUGGAAGACCAUCGAUGCUUCCCAAAGCAUAGAAGACUUACACAGAGAGAUUUACUCCCUCGCUGAAGAGACGAUCCAGAUGGUCCAGGAGAGGCCCAUGGGCGAGUUGUGGAAAUAGAGCCGGCUGCCGUCCCUCUGGCACACAGGGAGCGGGAGAGCGCCUCGGCCCAGCCCUGGAAGGAAACGGAUUGGUACUAAAUGUGCAUAAUCAUCUAGGCCGACUUCAGCCCCACUGUUAACCUGAAAUGUAAUGGUGUUCUUUUGGAAAAACUCAGCUGUCUUAACUUUCCAUUCUGGUGUCCUCAUUUAAAAUUCAUCCUUUCUAUUAAAAUAGAAACAACAGGAAGACCUACAAACAAUUCUUUUCAGUAAAAAUGUAUAAUCAAUUGGGAAAAUAGCUGUGAGAAACUUAAUGUGUCCUGCCCCUUUGUCAAAAUGAGGACCCUUAAACCCUAAAUUGGAAGGAGAAGCACCUGAAUGCUGCUAUUAGGUAGUGUCAGUCACAACCACCUGUCUCCACUGGGAACGCGCCAGCAGGGCCAGAUUUCUUAAGUAGAAUGAAAAGUGACUUGAAACGUACUGUCCACACGAGGGAGGAGAGCAGCCUGCAGGACUCUUGGGAACGGUGGGAGAGCUGGCCUUGGCCAAGUGACAUUAGGUCACCUCUGUGACCUGUAUCUGUAUCUGAAAAGUGAGGAGAAAGCUGGGAUCCGUGGCUCACAGGGAAAUCAUUAGGAUUCAGGAAAUGUUAAUUAUUGGGGAUGGACAUCUUCAUGCUAGGCUGAAAACUUGUCAAGGGUUCAAGGUCAAGGGUUAUUUCUUCACGAUUCUCUCAGCAGGGGUAGAGAAAAGAGAAAUUGAGUUGGCAAGCAGGAGAGAUGCCGUGACUGGCAUUCAGUAGGAAGCUAGCCAAACAUUGCAGUGACUGGACAUUCAAGAAACUCAUCAGGCAGCUUUUGG